rnacentral:rRNA from 1 species
UACGUAGGGUGCGAGCGUUAAUCGGAAUUACUGGGCGUAAAGCGUGCGCUGGCGGUUUUGCAAGCCGGAUGUGAAAUCCCCGGGCUCAACCUGGGAAUGGCAUUCGGGACUGCAAGGCUGGAGUGCGGUAGAGGAGACUGGAAUUCCUGGUGUAGCAGUGAAAUGCGUAGAUAUCAGGAGGAAUACCGAUGGCGAAGGCAGGUCUCUGGGCUGACACUGACGCUCAUGCACGAAAGCGUGGGGAGCAAACAGG